UGUUAUACAGAGCUCCAUACAGACAGUAAUAUUUUAUAUAAGUGAAUAAUAUAGAGUAUGGACAUCGGUUUCGGUUUUUUGACACGAUAUAAUGAAGCCGAGAUUUUAGCUGCUGAGGCAUUAACGACACUGUGGCAAAUUCGAGAUGGAGGAAAUCGUAGGGAUAGCGCCAAUGGGUCGUCGCCUAUCUUCCGUCGUCGGUCUGAUAGUCAAUCCGACCGAGAAAAUCGCAAUGCAGAUGAUAUGAGUAUUGGGUCAUCAGCGUCAGAUGAGAUCCAAACAGAUUUUGCUGAAGUAGAUAAUGAGUGUGAGCCUGAUACAGUGGACAAUUGCUUUCCCGAUGAAAUCCUAUAUAGGCGACUGGAUGAACCUGGCCCUUCCUCCAGUCGAGACGGUCGGCGUAAAUAUCGUGAAAAAAUGCGCCGUCUUGGACCCGGCAACACUAUGGUACCUCUACGCAUUAUUCAUACAAUUGAUGAUUCUGGAAUUGACUAUCCCAAAAUCACCAGAAGACUACUCCAAUACAUUUUUACGAGAGAAACAUUGGCUACGCAUAAUCUCUCUGGGAGGCCAUCCCCGGCUUUCCCCAACAAGCCAGCGAAGAAAGUGCUUAAUCCUGUAGUAGUUAACGACAUUGUAAGAUACGUGUGCAAGCGCUGCAAGGUUCCCCCGAGUUUAGUACGGAUAACAAUUACCCACAAGUGCAACGACGAGGCGAAAUUACAUCGGCAGCGCCGACAGUCACAGCGCUUGGCGAGACUUCGCCGGCGAAAUAGAGAAAAUAUCCCGCCUCGUCAGCAAUAAUAUAAAACGUCUUAUUUUCCAAUUCCCUCCCUUCCCUCUCCCCAAAGGCUAGAAACGGACUGAUAACUCCUCUAAUGUUGCGAGCGUUUUAUCCCACAACAAUCCCACCGUAAUAUUUUUAUUAAUUCGACCUCGAAAGUUUAAUUUAUACCACAACGGAAUGGCAUAAAAGCUUAAAAUUGACUUUUGCUACGAUGUUAAUAAUAUGACAUAAUGUUCUUUAUGUCAAUUGUAUGGGCCAGCGCAGACGAGUGACUAUUAUCCGCUGAGAACAAAAAUUGAUUCAGGAGAGUGAGAAUUAGAUUUCACUGCGUCUUGGGGGUACAUUUUGUUCAAUACCCCUUUAAACUGUAUUGAAUAACUCAUGAAGUGAAGUAAGAGUAUCUCGUGAUGUUAUUGAGACUUGUCAAUUUUAUAACAAUCCUUUGUCUGUGCAGACCUUUUACUUUAUAACAUUAAUACGAGCUGGAAUAUGUGAAUAUUCGUGUUUUCUCACACCAUCUCAUUUCGGGAGGUGAAAAUAUUGGCACUUUUAUUCCAAUCCACAGUGGAGUAACAUUGAGCUUAUACACUACGUAGUUAAAUUGACGCCAUAUAAUUAGAUAUAAGAAUAAUAAUUAAGUGAUUCAAGUGAUUGACGAGACUAUUGUCUAUUAUCAUGAUGAAAUUAAUAUUAAUAAGGUACAUUCUGCUGGCUGGGUGUGCAGCUAUAGCCGCAAAAAAAGGCUAAUAUUUUUUUUUUUAUAAUUGUAUAAAUAGUAUUCACAUGCGUGCCUCGGAGAGCACGUUAAGCCGUCGGUCCCGGUUGUCAUACGAACACCAGUGACAACCGAUACUUGGUCAGAGGCUCAAAAUCUGACAUCAGUCUAACCAAGAAUGUAUUAUUGCCCUUAACGGGUUGUAGUGCAUUACUGACACUCACUCUAUAUAACACCUGACAUUCUGGUUUAGACUUGACAAAAUGCUUUUAUAACCGAGUUCAUAAACACGAGGUUUUUAUUGUUUAAGUUAGAUUAAGGCAUAGGUUUAAAGGUUCUUAUUGGAUCCGCCUUUUUAUCCACUAUUUUUUUAUAUAAAAUUUUCAUUCAUUCAUAUAAAAUUGUUUUGAACGUAUAAUAUGAUCUAGGUAUUUUUGUACCUACCGAAAUAUAUUUUUUUGAAUAUUUUUACAUUUAAUAAUAAUAUCCCACCCAAAACAU